rnacentral:rRNA from 1 species
ACACUCCUGCGGGAGGCAGCAGUAGGGAAUCUUCCACAAUGGGUGCAAACCUGAUGGAGCAAUGCCGCGUGAGUGAAGAAGGUCUUCGGAUCGUAAAGCUCUGUUGUUAGAGAAGAACACGUGCUAGGUAACUACUAGCGCCUUGACGGUAUCUAACCAGAAAGUCACGGCUAACUACGUGCCAGCAGCCGCGGUAAUACGUAGGUGACAAGCGUUGUCCGGAUUUAUUGGGCGUAAAGGGAGCGCAGGCGGUCUGUUUAGUCUAAUGUGAAAGCCCACGGCUUAACCGUGGAACGGCAUUGGAAACUGACAGACUUGAAUGUAGAAGAGGAAAAUGGAAUUCCAAGUGUAGCGGUGGAAUGCGUAGAUAUUUGGAGGAACACCAGUGGCGAAGGCGAUUUUCUGGUCUAACAUUGACGCUGAGGCUCGAAAGCGUGGGGAGCGAACAGGAUUAGAAACCCGUGUAGUCCC